CACUGUGCCUCAGGGCUUGGUAGCCCGAGGCAGCUGCUUCACCAUGUUUAAUGAUAGGGGCUGGCCAUUGGAGCAUAAAAAAUAUGUGCAGGGUGAAGCUCGACAACAUUAAGGUCACUUCCAAUUCAGUGAACUCAUAAACCAAUCCAUAUAGGUCUAGAACAGGAUGAGCAGCUAUCAACUGGUCCUUGGACUCAUAAUGCAACACAUCAGAAGAAAACAACAUUGGGAAAAUUUCCAUCAGAUCUGCAAAUGGAGAUCCAUGGGGAGAAAAACUCCAUCAGCACUACAUAGAAUCACCAGAUCCAGGUUGACUAAAGAACAAGGGGGGAAAGCUACAUGCUCCAAGAGUGUCCCCAGAAGAUGGGACUGAUAAACCACUUUAAACCUAGAAAAUUCUUAGUAGGAUUGUUGUAAGUCAGAAUCAAUUUGAUAGCACAUUCACUGUUAUUAUUAUUGUUAUUAUUAGAUUUUGAACUGAUGCAGGCCAGAGAUCAGUAUCCUCAUGUUCUUAACCAGUGGUAGCUGGUGACUCCUGAGGUGCUGUGGAUCCACCCCAUGUUUUACUCUGCACUUUAGAGGAGCUGUCCAAGGCACUGAGCUGUAUCUCCAGCAGAGGUUCAGAACCUGGAGAGCUCUUACAAAGCUCAGACUAAAACCUGGAUUCGCAGCAUUCUUGAAGUGGGAGUCACCAGCUGCCGCUGAUCCUAGUCAUCCCUCUGCUAUUCCAGUGUGUUCAAAUGUGAAAGGAAUAACGGAAGACUGUGCAUGUGAUGUCCAGUGCAGACAGAUGAAAACCAGAGACUUCUUACACUAAUGCAUUAAAUGAACUGCAUGGGAUCCUAGUCAUCCCUCUGCUAUUCCAGUGUUUUCAAAUGUGAAAGGAAUAAUGGAAGACUCUGCAUGUGAUGCCCAGUGCACACAGAUGAAAACCGGAGACUUAUUACACUAAUGGAUGGUAUGGUGAAUGUGUGGUGCAGGAAAGAGAGGCAUGAUCCAACUGCAAGGUUGUGUCUUACCCUGUGGCUGUGUAAUAUAUGAAUGCUCUGGGCUACAAUAUGGAUUGCUAACAACAACAUAUUGGCCAAAAUUCUGUUGCUUAGCAUAGGAGAUCACUCUGGAGGAGGCCCAUUUAAUCAACAUGGAUUUGGUAAGUCAGUUUCUCCAUAGAUUCAAUUGAUUCAAAUAAUGCUACUCUAAAUGUGUUUUAUUUUAGCCUAGUAGGUCUCAACCAAAGUAGGACCAUCUGAAUCAAUGGAACUUAAAGAAGGGUUGACUCACCAAGCCCCAUGGAUUCAAUGAGCCUGCCAGUUUCUCCAUAGAUUCAAUUGAUUCAAAUGAUGCUACUCUAAAUGUGUUUAUUUUAGCCCAGUAGGUCUCAACCAAAGUACUGUAGGACCAUUUGAAUCAAUGGAACUUAAAGAAGAGUUGACUCAGCAUGCCCCAUGGAUUCAAUGAGCCUGCUCUAGUGCAAUUUAUUACACUCAGUAAUAAAAAACAGGAUUUUGGCA
rnacentral:lncRNA from 1 species